AGCUCUAGAUUCGUCAUGAUUCAACAUUCUUUUAAUCGGCUGAAGAUUCGCUGGAGUGGCAGGCAGAGUGUACAGUUUUGGUGGCGGCUUGGUGGCUCCUGUCCUCUGCGUUGUUGCACUGUCGUCGUCAGUUCCGUUAAGGUCGGUGGGAUCGCUGGUGAAGUGGCACGGGUUCCUCGAGGGUCCUGCUGAUUAGUUCAUCAUAUUUUUUCCUCCUCUUGUUUAAGUUGUCCUUGCAAGCAAUCGCAGCGAGCAUCUUGUGAUACUGUAAACAAAGCAAUACAAUAGUGGCAAAGCUCCCAUGGACGAAUCGCCAUUAAUUAGCCUUCGUGUACCUCACGUCCGUAAAAACUGUCCUGGUUGCUUCAAAUCUGUCCGAAUUUCAGAAGCUGCGAGCAUACACCCAGACUGGUAGCUACACCCAAACACCACGCGCGCGCACAGAUGGUACUUGCCGACAAGAAUGAAUUGUCGGAAACCUAGUAGGCCAGAGCGUCAGGCUCUGAGUCUCAGCGAUGGUCCUGCCUGUGCUGUCCAGAGACGUCGGCCGUCGGUGUGGCCAUCGGGACACCGCCCACGUCUCCCGUUCCAUCCCGGCUCAAGUUGGUCCCAGUGCUGAAAAAUGAAGCAGUACUAGACGCCAAACCCGCCAUGUGUGGCGACCGUGCCUCACGUGUGAUCCCAGCGAGCCAACGUGGAAACCGCGCGCGACUUCCACGAGCACGCCGCCUCGUGGCCUCGUCGACGGCGUCGGCCCAAAUCUGUUUUCACUUUGUUUGCAAGUUAAGCACAAUCUGACCCGCGUUUGCAAAAAUUUCAUCAUUUGACAUUUUUCCUAUCGCAGGGUCGAUGACAGUAGGGUAUAAUUGCCUAUCGGUGCUCUGGAGGUAGGAUAUUUAUCCACGUCAGCGCAGCUAACGGCCCAAUCGCCUUGCCGUCAAUCCUAUCACCGAGGCCCUCGGCGGUAGCCAGUUAUGGUGAUAGGGUUUGGACAGUUCUUCACCGCUCUUGUCGAUCGAGAUGACUUUAUGAUGAGAGAAGUAAGCUCUUUUGAUUCCUCCAAUUAGUUUUUAGUCAAAUAGCCUCUAAUUUUGACGCAUUUUAUGACACUAGGUGAACCCUAGUUCAUCUUUUAGUUUGAACUUUUUUGUAACUAAAUUUAUUUAGAAUGGAUGUGUGUAUCAAUGGAUGGACAUAUGGAUGCCUGGAUGACUGGGUGGAUACAUGGAUAUAUGUUGGAUGUGUGCAUGAAUGAAUGGGUAUAGGUGAACCCUCAUCUUGUAGUAUUGAUGUGAUUGGUAUUGAUAUAUUUAGAAUGGAUAUACAUAUGCACAUUUGGUAUUGCUGUAUUUACAAUGAAUUCAUAUGUAUUAUGCAUAUAUUUAGAAAGAUAAAUGUGUGGAGGCAUAUAUUUAGAAAGAUAAAUGUGUGGAGGCAUAUAUUUAGAACGAUGAAUGAAUGUAGACGAAAUAAUGCUAAUGAAUGAAUGUAGAUCAAAGUUGGACUAGAUGUUUUCUUCAAUUUGGACCAUGUUUUUCAGUUUGUUGUCAAAAAAUUAACUUGAAUUGGCAAUUGUUUUGGCAGGAUCCUUGAUCAAAACAUCGACACUCGGUACACUAUGCUUGACCCUGCCUUCUACAAUUGUCAUCGUGCACGCUAUAUCGAGAAUGGAGUGGUAAUAAGCGAUGCUCAUGAUCAAAUUCUUGCAAAAAAAAUGGCGCACCGUCAACUUGUCAAGUUCCCCUGUGAUGUGUUCGGUGGCGCCAGAAUCUGUGUACCAAUUCGUGUCAAUCCAGUAGGAGUUGGUGAUGAGGUUGGCCUUCUUCUUUUCUUCAUGGUCCUCCUCAUAGCGGUGCCAGCAAAGCCUUUUGUGCCGCUGGCGUGAUACUUGUAGCAUAUUUGGCACUCAGGAUAGUCUCCCUCAUGUUGUUGUUGUUGUUGUUGUUGUUGUUAUUGUUGUUGUUUUUGUUGUUGUUGUUGUUGCUGCUGCUGUUGUGGUGGUUGUCGUUGGCGUUGCUGAUAGCCGCCACCGCUGCGAGUAGGAGAGGGAGAGGCACGAUCACCACGACCGCAUCCUCUGUUCCCUCGCUCGUGACCUCCUCUAGCCCGGGACUACCCGCGCCCUCUAUACACGACGUUUGUAGAUGAGCGGAAACCGAAAGGUCCAUCGCCCAACAUCUCCAUUCUCCGGUCGAACGCAGAAAUCUGCGAGAAAUGAUCAUCAGCGGUGAUGGAGUUAUUGAUGGUGCCGACUGCUGCAACGACGGGAUCGUAAUCCCGAUCGAGCCCGGCGAGGAUGUAGUCAGCCAUCUCGCCAUCUCUCACUGGACAACCAGCCGCUGCAAGCUCGUCUCCAAGACUCUUCAUCUUGGCGAUGAAGGAGUUGCUUGACAUGUUGCCCUUCUUGGUGUUGGAGAUGGCUAUCCUCAGAUUUGUUAUCCGAGAUUGAGAGUCCACAGCGAAUAGUAUGGUAAGAGCACCUACAGCCAUACCCCUCAAACACGUCUCAAAAAACCGGGCAGGCAGGCCGGUCACUGACCGAUGACAAAAAAUUGACACAGCCGGAGCUCUCAAACCACGGACAAACGCCCAGGCUGACCGGCACCCCUCAUAUCCAGCCCAAAUAUAGGGCGGAUAUGAGGCGGCCCGGGCGCGUCUGCCAUGUUGUUGGGCCUCCAAGCGCAGAGUUUUGUAGGACAGUAGCAAAUUCCCCUCAAGUGGAUGACCUAAGGUUUAUCAAUCCGUGGGAGGCGUAGGAUGAAGAUGGUCUCUCUCAAACAACCCUGCAACCAAAUAACAAAGAGUCUCUUGUGUCCCCAACACACCCAAUACAAUGGUAAAUUGUAUAGGUGCAUUAGUUCGGCGAAGAGAUGGUGAUACAAGUGCAAUAUGGAUGGUAGAUAUAGGUUUUUGUAAUCUAAAAAUAUAAAAACAAUAAGGUAGCAAGUAACAAAAGUGAGCGAAAAUGGUAUUGCAAUGCUUGGAAACAAGGCCUAGGGUUCAUACUUUCACUAGUGCAAGUUCUCUCAACAAUGAUAACAUAAUUAGAUCAUAUAACAAUCCCUCAACGUGCGACAAAGAAUCACUCCAAAGUCACUAAUAGCGGAAAACAAACAAAGAGAUUAUUGUAGGGUACGAAACCACCUCAAAGUUAUUCUUUCUGAUCGAUCUAUUGGGUUAUUCCGAUAAGUGCCACAAACAGGCCUAGAGUUUGUACUGAAAUAACACCUUAAGAUACACAUCAACCAAAACCCUAAUGUUACCUAGGCACUCCAUUAUCACCAGGAGUACUCGCGAGUUUGAUUAUACGAUAUGCAUCACACAAUCUCAGAUUCAUCUAUUCAAACCAACGCAAAGAACUUCAAAGAGUGCCCCAAAGAUUCUAUCGGAGAGUCAAGACAAAAACGUGUGCCAACCCCUAUGCAUAAGUUCACAAGGUCACGGAACCCGCAAGUUGAUCACCAAAAAAUACAUCAAGUGGUUCACGUGAAUAUCCCAUUGUCACCACAGAUAUUCAUAUGCAAGACAUACAUCAAGUGUUCUCAAAUCCUUAGAGACUGAAUUCAAUAAGAUAACUUCAAAGGGAAAACUCAAUUCAUCACAAGAAGGUAGAGGGGGAGAAACACCAUAUGAUCCAACUAUAAUAGCAAAGCUCGUGGUACAUCAAGAUUGUGCCAAAUCAAGAACACGAGAGAGAGAGAGAGAGAGAGAGAGAGAGAGAGGGAUCAAACACAUAGCUACUGGUACAUACCCUCAUCCCCGAGGGUGAACUACUCCCUCCUCGUCAUGGAGACUGCCCAGAUGAUGAAGAUGGCCACCGGUGAUAGUUUUCCCCUCCGGCAGGGUGCCGGAACAGGGACCCGAUUGGUUUUUGGUGGCUACAGCGGCUUUCAGCGGCGGGACUCCCGAUCUAGGUUUAUUUCUAGGGGUUUCUAUAUUUAUAGGAUUUUUUAGCGUCAAAAGUCAGGGGGGUCCAUGAGGAUCCCANNNNNNNNNNNNNNNNNNNNNNNNNNNNNNNNNNNNNNNNNNNNNNNNNNNNNNNNNNNNNNNNNNNNNNNNNNNNNNNNNNNNNNNNNNNNNNNNNNNNNNNNNNNNNNNNNNNNNNNNNNNNNNNNNNNNNNNNNNNNNNNNNNNNNNNNNNNNNNNNNNNNNNNNNNNNNNNNNNNNNNNNNNNNNNNNNNNNNNNNNNNNNNNNNNNNNNNNNNNNNNNNNNNNNNNNNNNNNNNNNNNNNNNNNNNNNNNNNNNNNNNNNNNNNNNNNNNNNNNNNNNNNNUUUUGUUUCAAGGGCUUCUUCUGGUCCAUCAAAAAUCACCGUAAAUUUUCAGGUCAUUUGGACUCCGUUUGGUAUUCCUUUUCUGUAAAACUCAAAACAAGGAAAAAACAUAAACUCGCACUCGGCUCUAGGUUAAUAGGUUAGUCCCAAAAAUAAUAUAAAAUAGCAUAUAAAUGCAUAUAAAACAUCCAAGAUGGAUAAUAUAAUUGCAUGGAAUAAUAAAAAAUUAUAGAUACGUUGGAGACAUAUCAAGCAUCCCCAAGCUUAAUUCCUGCUCGUCCCCGAGUAGGUAAAUGAUAAAAAUAGAAUUUUUGAUGUGGAAUGCUACCUAACAUAUUUAUCAAUGUAAUCUUCUCUAUUGUGGCAAGAAUAUUCAGAUCCAUAAGAUUCAAAAUAAAAGUUUAAUAUUGACAUAAAAACAAUAAUACUGCAAGCAUACUAAUAAAGCAAUUAUGUCUUCUCAAAAUAACAUGGCCAAAGAAAGUUAUCCCUACAAAAUCAUAUAGUCUGGCUAUGCUCCAUCUUCAUCACACGAAGUAUUAAAUCAUGCACAACCCCGAUGACAAGCCAAGCAAUUGUUUCAUACUUUUGAUAUGUUCAAACCUUUUCAACUUUCACGCAAUACAUGAGCGUGAGCUAUGGACAUAACACUAUAGGUGGAGUAGAAUAUGGUCGUUGUGGAGAAGACAAAAAGAAGGACAUAGUCUCACAUCAACUAGGCGUAUCAACGGGCUAUGGAGAUGCCCAUCAAUAGAUAUCAAUGUGAGUGAGUAGGGAUUGUCAUGCAAUGGAUGCACUAGAGCUAUAAGUUUAUGAAAGCUCAAAAGAAAACUAAGGCCCAGUUCUUUUCAGGCAAGAUUCUACAGAAUCAGGAUUCUGAAAAAUUCUCCCAGAAUCAGCUUCUUCCAGAAUCCGUCGUCGAGUUCUUUUCAGAGAUUGUAGUUUGAGAUUCUAGAACCUAUUGUGUGUUGAAAUGUUUGUACUACCCAUAGACAGAAUUUGUUUGAUGAAAUGUUAACACUUUGUUGUUUCUAACAGUAACGAAAGUGAAUUAAGAAUGCCAUAAAAAGUACUAAAUAUUACAAUAGAUUUAAAGUUUUUUUCAUUACAGAAAGUCCAUAACCGUGAGUGUCGGCAUCGAACUUUGAGGGACGGGGCGGACUGAGGGGCGAGGAGGAGCUGAGGAGGGAAGCUGGCCGGCGGGGGCGGCGACGACUUGGCCUGGCCGGCGGCGGCGCGUCAACCCUAGCUGCUGCCGCGAAGCUGACGGGGCGGGGCGAACUGCAGGGCGGGAAGGGUGGGGCGGACCGGGCGGGGGCAGCUGGCCGGCGGGGGCAGGGGCGGCCUGGCCAGCGAGGGAGGGGGCGGCCUGGCUGGGUGCGGGCUAGAUGGCGGGGGCAGGGGCGGCUUGAAGCUCAGCUGCUCCGCUGCCCCGAUGCGGUGCGGGAACUGGGACACGAGCGAGUGGUCGGUUGCGUCCGCUCGUUUUCGGGGUCUUGGGCUGGACUGCGGGGUGGCAUUUUGACCGUAAAUACGUGAUACAAUAGGGGUACAUCUAUACUUCAAAACGUUUUCUUUGGUGGGACUUGCCAGAAUCUUGAGAUUGUGGGAGAAACCAGGUAUAUUGGGAUUUUGGAAUUGCACUAGGAUUCUGGAUAAUCCGGUUGAGAUUUUGGAAGUUCAAUCGAGUUCUUUUCGCUCGGGAUUUUCGGGACCAAGAUUCUCCAUAAUCUGGCCAAAAGAACUGGGCCUAAGUGGGUGUGCAUCCAACUCGCUUGAUCACGAAGACCUAGGGCAAUUUAAGGAAGCCCAUCAUUGGAAUUUACAAACCAAGUUCUAUAAUGAAAAGUUCCCACUAGUAUAUGAAAGUGACAACAUAGGAGACUCUCUAUCAUGAAUAUCAUGGUGCUACUUUGAAGCACAAGUGUGGUAAAAGGAUAGUAACAUUGCCCCUUCUCUAUUUUCUCUCUUUUUUGUUUUUUGGCUCUCUCCUUUUUAGGACUCUUUUAUUAUUAUUAUAAUUUUUUUCGUUCGGAGUCUCAUCCCGACUUGUGGGGGAAUCAUAGUCUCCUUCAUCCUUUCCUCACUGGGAGAAUGCUCUAAUAAUGAAGAUCAUCACACUUUUAUUUACUUACAGCUCAACAAUUACAACUCGAUACUUAGAACAAAAUAUGACUCUAUAUGAAUGCCUCUGGCGGUGUACCGGGAUGUGCAAUGAGUGACAUGUAUGAAAGAAUUAUGAAAGGUGGCUUUGCCACAAAUACAAUGUCAACUACAUGAUCAUGCAAAGUAAUAUGACAAUGAUGAAGCGUGUCAUAAUAAAUGGAACAGUGGAAAGUUGCAUGGCAAUAUAUCUCGGAAUGGCUAUGGAAAUGCCAUAAUAGGUAGGUAUGGUGGCUGUUUUGAGGAAGGUAUAUGGUGGGUGUAUGGUACCGGCGAAAGUUGCACGGUACUAGAGAGGCUGGCAAUGGUGGAAGGGUGAGAGUGCGUAUAACCCAUGGACUCAACAUUAGUCAUAAAGAACUCACAUACUUAUUGAAAAAAAUCUAUUAGUCAUCGAAACAAAGUACUACACGCAUGCUCCUAGGGGGAUAGAUUGGUAGGAAAAGACCAUCGCUCGUCCCCGACUGCCACUCAUAAGGAAGACAAUCAGUAAAUAAAUCAUGCUCCGACUUCAUCACAUAACAGUUCACCAUACGUGCAUGCUACCGGAAUCACAAGCUUUAACACAAGCAUUUCUACAAUCCACAAUUACUCACUAGCAUGACUCUAAUAUCACCAUCUUUAUAUCUCAAAACAAUUGUAAGGAAUCAAACUUCUCACAGUAUUCAAUGCGCUUCAUAUGAAAGUUUUUAUUAUAUCCCUCUUGGAUGCCCAUCAUAUUAGGACUAAAUUCAUAACCAAAUCAAAUUACCAUGCUGUUUAAGACUCUCAAAAUAAUAUAAGUGAAGCAUGAGAGUUCAUCAUUUUCUUCAAAAUAAAACCAUCGUCGUGCUCUAAAAAGAUAUAAGUGAAGCACUAGAGCAAAUGACAAACUAGUCCAAAAGAUAUAAGUGAAGAUCAAUGAGUAGUCGAAUAAUUAUGUAACUAUGUGAAGACUCUCUAACAUUUAAGAAUUCCAGAUCUUGGGAUAUUAUUCAAACAGCAAGCAAAACAAAAUAAAAUGACAUUGCGAGGAUAGCACAUAUCAUGUGAAGAAGCAAAAACUUAGGCUCAACCAAAACUGACCGAUAGUUGUUGAAGAAGAAAUGUGGGAUGCCAACCGGGGCAUCCAAGCUUCUAUGCUUGAGACUUCUUGAAAUAUUAAUUAGGGAUGCCUUGGGCAUCCCCAAGCUUGAGCUUUUGUGUCUCCUUAAUUCCUCUCAUAUCAUAGUUUCCCUAAAUCUUAAAAACUUCAUCCACACAAAACUCAACAAGAACUCGUGAGAUAAGUUAGUAUAAAUCAAUGCAAAACCUUAUCAUUUUCUACUGUAGAAUAUCACUAAAAUUAUUAUUUGACAUUGCCUACUAAAUGUAUCUGCAUUUUUAAUACACCUAUGCUCAAAUAGAAUCAUUAAGCACGCAAACAUACGCAAACAAUGUAAACAUAACAACAAUAUGUCUAAACAGAACAUUCUCUAAAGAAUGCGAGAGGAAUCAUACUUCCCUGAAACCAAAAAUUUCUGGAAAAUUACCACACUGUAGAAAAUUUGUUUUUACUAAUUGUGUAAAAAUUUCAAGAUUUUAUCAUGUUUUGACUAUUCACCAUUAUUCAAAACCUAACAGCAAACUUUCUAUUUUCAAACAGCAACAUAUAGACUUGUAAAAUAAGCAUGGUAAAGGCUAUAUUGACCUUUUUAUUGAACUAAAAGAUAUAAAACACGUCUCUUAAUAACAGCAAGCAAAUAUAAACAAAAAAAUGAUGCUCCAAGCAAAACACAUAUCAUGUGGUGAAUAAAAAUAUAGCUCCAAGUAAGGUUAACGGUGAACGAAGAAAAAGAGGGGAUGCCAUCCGUGGCAUCCCCAAGCUUAGGCUCUCGGUUGUCUUUGAAUAUUACCUUGGGGUGCCUUGGGAAACCCCAAGCUUAGGCUCUUGUCACUCCUUAUUCCGUAGUCCAUUGAAACUUUACCCAAAACUUGAAAACUUCACAACAGAAAACUCAACAGAAAACUCGUAAGCUCCGUUAGUAUAAGAAAAUAAAAUCAUCACUUUUGGUACUGUUGUGAACUCAUUCUAAAUUCAUAUUGGUGUUAUAUAUAAUAUAUUACAACUUCUCCAUGGUUCAUACCCUCCGAUACUACUCAUAGAUUCAUCAAAUUAAGCACACAACACAUAGAAAACAGAAUCUAUUUAAAACAGAACAGUCUGUAGUAAUCAGGAAACUAAGUAUACUUCUUUAACUCCAAAACUUAUGAAAAAUUAGGACAACUUAGAAAAUGUGUAUAUCAAUCAUGUGUCAAAAAUUCAGAUCAAAAUCACUUUCCAGUGAAUUUUCAAAAUUCCUGGACUGGGAGCAAAAGUUUUUGUUUUUGCACAGAAUCAAGUCAACUAUCAUCCACACUAUCCCAAAGGCUUUACUUGGCACUUUAUUGAAACAAAAGCUAUAAAACAUGAUUAAUACAGUAGCCUAAUCAUGUGAAUACACAAAAAUAGAAGGGGUAAAUAUUGGGUUGUCUCCCAACAAGCCAUUUUUAAUGCCUUUUUAGCUAGGCAUGAUGAUUUCAAUGAUGCUCACAUUAAAGAUGAGAAUUGUAACAUAAUGGGAGCAUCAUGAAGCAUAUGACUAGCACAUUUAAGUCUAACCCACUUCCUAUGCAUAGGGAUUUUUUGAGCAAACAACUUAUGAGAACAAGAAUCAACUAGCAUAGGAAGGUAAAGCAAGCAUAACUUCAAAACUUUAAGCACAUAGAGAGGAAACUUGAUAUUAUUGCAAUAUGUAAAAGCAUAUGUUCCCCUCUAAUAGUAAUUUUCAGUAGCAUCAUCAAUGAAUUCAACAAUAUAACUAUCCAACAAAUCAUUAUUUUCAUGAUGCACAAGCAUAGAAAUUGUAUUACUCUCCACAUAAGCAAUUUUCUUCUCAUGAAUAGUAGUGGGAGCAAACUCAACAAAAUAACUAUCAUGUGAGGCAUGAUCCAAUUGAAAAUUAAAAUCAAGAUGACAAGUUUCAUCGUUAUCAUUAUUCUUUAUAGCAUACAUGUCAUCACAAUAAUCAUCAUAGAUAGCAACUUUGUUCUCAUAAUCAAUUGGAACCUCUUCUGACAUAGUGGAUUCAUCACUAACACUACAAAAAAUACACUUCCGUGAUGAUACGUGUUUGUCACAGUAGUUCACGUUUUUUGUCAUGCAUGUACGUCCAUGACGAUUUUAUGACAGAAUCAAUAUAGUCAUACCUGUGUUGUCGUAGAAGUGUUCCAUGACAUUACCAAAAUUAUCAUCACAGAAGUGUCCACUUCCAUGACGAUAAAUCGUGUGUCAUAGAAGUGCUUUUGUCAAGGGUGACCGACACGUGGCAUCCACUGUAACGGAACGCGGUUAAGCUAUCGGGUCCGGUUUUCGAUCCGAUAACCCGUUAACAGCCCCGACCAAUGGGGAUUUUCCACGUGUAAAAUUGUCAUUGGCUUGAGGAAACACGUCUCGGCUCACCGUUGGGACAGAUGUCAUCCACUCAUUGGACCCAAGGCGCCUAUGAUACGUCAACACGUGGCGCGGCCCAACAGAGGCCCAUUCCUGUGAAAAAGGUCAACACGCUUGAAUUGGUCACAAGGUGGCGGGCCGGCCCUUGGAAAGCCAGUUAACGGCAUGUUCGCUUAUAGCCCAUUUACAACCCUCUAACCCAGGGCCUGUUACGACCUGUCCGAAUUAGGCCCAGUAGCGUCAUCUGGACCGUCCAAUAUGAUUCCAACCCGUUUUAACUUCCGGCCCAUGUAUGGCCCAUGACGUCUUUCGGCCCAUAUGAGGCCCUUUGUAAUUCUUGGCCCAUUAACGACCCGUGGUGAAACUGGCCUGUAAUGAACAAUGUAUCACUUUAUACCCAUCAAUGACCCAUUAUUCCGUUGAGCCGUUUCCAGCCCAUGUUAUCUUUCGGCCUUCUCAGGGCCCAUUUAUUCGUGGGCUCAUUUCCAUCAUUCGGUUACUUACGGCCUGUUACUGUCAUUUUCUGCUUGUGGGCCAAAUUCAGCGCGUGGUUACAGUCGGCCCGUUUGUGGCCCGUUAAUACGUUGGACCGUUUUCAUGUAAAAAAACCAUUGGGCUAUUUUCAUACAGUUAUCAAAUACGACCUAUUAACGGCCCGUUAUGGUCCACGAAUAGUACGGCCCAUGAUUGGUGAAAUGAUGAUACGGCCCGUCGAAGGCCCAUGGAUCCUACGACCCAUAAAAGGCCCAUGGAUCGUAUGGCCCGUAGAAGGCCCAUGGAUCGUACGACCCAUAUAUAGAAGGCCCAUGGAUCCUACGACCCAUAGAAGGCCCAUGGAUCGUAUGGCCCAUAUAGAAGGCCAAUGGAUCCUACAGCCCGUAGAAGGCCCAUGGAUCAUACGGCCCGCAUGAGGCCCAUGGUUACAACAGUCCUUGUGUUGCCAUGAUUAUUUUGGCCUAGUUUCCAAAAGUAGGUUAUUGUGGCCAUUAGAACAACACAGAAAAAGAACUAUAGUGACUACAAGCAAACAACUAAACAAGACAAUAAGGAAAUAAAUAAGAAAGCAAUUAACGCUAGCCUAUUACCGCUAUUACACAUAUUACAUCUACUGGGCAUCAAAGUUCUCCACCAGUGCAAAUAUAGGGAACAAAGCAUCAUAUUACAUACACCGGCCGUCAAAAUUAGCCACCAGUGCAAAUAAAUGCGGCAGCAAAACAAGAGCAUAACUGAAACAACUUCAGAAGAGCUCAAGAAACAUUAUCUUGGGUAUCCACCAUGCUGGAAAUAAGCUUAUCAAGGUUAUUAGCUUUGUCCUGUUUGGCACUAAAAUCCUCCAACGCUUGCUGUUGCACCAGAAAGUAUGCAUCUGGAUGCUCCAGGGACUUCCGCAGUCCUUCCGCUUCUUGUCGCAGAACAACUAAUCGAUGUCUUUCAGCUUGUAUUGAGACUCAAGAAACCGAACUAAUUCAGACAGUGAGUUUGAAUAGCUUGUGCAAGCGGUAGUGGCCAGUAACUCCAACACUAAACCAAGACAGGACUUUGGGGUUGUCUCACUGUGUUCAAGGUAGUCUUCCUUAGCUGUUUUAUCAGUUUUGUUGGAGACCAACAAGGAUGUCUCACAAUCCUGAACCUUAUCUGCAUUACUUCCUUUACCAUUGCUUAAUAAGGCACUCUUCCCCAAUAUUCUAUCAGCAUUCUAAAAUAAGAAACAAGCAGACACAUAACAGAUUUAGCAUGUACUAGUAUAUGAAACUCAUUUCGGUGAACUAGUUCAUUAGUAAGGUGGACAGGAUUAAGCUACCAAGUCUUCUAUUGCCAAGUACAAGUACAUAACAAAAGCAUCAAACAAACAUAUAUCUAUGUCCUAUGGUCACUGCAUUGUCUUGACAAAUCAAAAUAGAGACACGGUUCAAAUCAUAUCAGUUCAAGACACAGCAGCAGUGAAAGAAUACAAAGCGUGGGAAACUACACGGCAUAACAAGAUUUCAGAUGGGUACCACGGGUGUGCAUGUACAAAAACACUAUUGGCUCUGUUGUGAUGCUAGUAAUGUGCAUGAUAUGAGAAGUCAACUGUAUACACAAUUGAAUUGAAAUCAACAGAGCUAUUGAUAAGAGCAAACCUGUUAAAGAAACAUGUGUGAACAUACCUGCUAUGCCAUUGGAGUUUCGAUUGGAUCGUUCAAUUUAAAAAUAAGUUUGUAUGAGUAAAUACAGUGAUACAAGAGCAAAACAGUAUGCACGAUAUCAAUCAUAGUUAAAAAAGCGCGCCCAAGCAAGCGCUUAAGCGCGCCUAGGCUCUAGGCGUUGGCAAAACGCAUUGAGAUAACUACGCUGAAUCUGUGCAUAACUGCGCAUAAGCAUGCACUUUGGUCAGUAAAGCGCAAGAUGGUCGCAAAACGCACAAUUAACGCCUAGCGCUUUUUUGAACUAUGAUAGCAAUGGAAUCUUAAAUUAGAACAGUUGUUCUUCAGGUUUAGGCACUUGUUCUACAUGAACAGAGUAUAGUAAGACGCAAGAGUAUAGUACUUAAAAAUAGAAAAUGAGCUCAUAGACAUUACCACAUUCUUGGUUGGGAACAGUACAGAACAAAGCGUUCCCAGUCAUCAUCCAGUAAAUGUGUCUCAGGAGAAUGUAAGGGAAUUUGAUGAGUUUCUUUGCCGGUGAAGUACGUUUUCUUCAGGUAAUUACGAUACUACCACCAAGCAUUCUUGAAGAUAGCAGAGGUAUUAGCACAGGUUACAUCAUCCUGAGUUUCCAAAUCGGUCCUUCUCUAUAGAGAAAAAUGGGAAAAUUUGCUAUAUUAUAACCAUCAUGGAGGUAGGAUGUAUGGGACAAAGCAAAGUAAUUGCCAUGAAUAACAUUACUUACACAUAACUCCUGGACAAACACCUGCAGCUGGCAUUUUCCUUCAUCUUCAGUAUAAUAUUUCCAAGAUGGAAAGAUACACACAUUCGAUUUAACAACAUCAGAUGCGAUAGAUGCUAAACUACGACUAGCUGGUUGUGCUUCCUCCACAGGAAUAAGCGUACUAACUGGUGGAGUUGGGGUUCACCAUGGUAGUACUGGCCCUUUGGGCACUGGGGCUUCCUUACUAACUGCUCUUGUUUGGGAGCUCUGUGGUGGAGAUGGUGUUGUGUCAACAGGAACUGGGUUACUAUCUGCUGGGUUUGGGGUUAGAUUGGGUGAAGCUAGUUCUCUGUCCAUCACAGUACGGGUACAAUCUGCGAGAGUUUGGGUUAUGUGUGGUAGGGCUAGUUCUUGUGCAUGUACAACCGGGGUGCUAUCUCCACCAAGAGGUAGCACUGUUUUAUUUGAAGACCGUGUUUUUAGUCCGCUAGAUACUGGCAUCACCCGUUCCAAUUCAAAUGGCUAAUAAACAGGAAACAUAGUUGGAUGUACAUACAUUGUAUGAGAUACAGAUGUAGUAGAUAGUGUGGAAAAAAGAGGGCAUGAAAUAGUUGACAUGUAUAUUGUUUAACUAAAACGGAUAGCAUGACAUAAUUUCACAUAUAUGAUGUCUAUCUAAACUGGAUAGCAUGGCAUAACAUAAUUCAAAGACAUGGUGAAUAACUAAACAGGAUCGCAUGAAAUAAUUCACAAACAUGUUAUCUAAGUAAUCAGGAUCACAUCAUUUAAUUCACGUAUGUGAUUUAUAUGCUAAACAGAGGGCUUUUGAUAUGAUGUCUGAACUAAGAACAUGGUGUUGAAUAUUGUCUAUAUGAUGUCUAAACUAUGCAAUGCAAGACACCAUAUGCAUGAUAUGAGCAGUAUAACCGUGCCAAGUUAGAGCAUACACCUCGGUGGGGCAAUAGGACUGGUCAUCUGUCUCUGAAUCCAUCUUUGAGGAGCUAUAGAGACCCAAUAAGAUAUCUACUUCGACAGGUAGCACUGUCUGCUCUGAAGGCCUUGUUUUCACUCCAGAUUUUUCAUCUCCCACCCAAAUGGCUGAUUCAUAGGAAGAGUAGUUUAAUGUACAAAAUUGUUGACAAAUGGAAAUGUAAUGAAGAAAAGGAUGGGCAAGAUAUCAUUGAAAUAUAUGAUGCCUGGUUAAACAGGAUGGCAUUGCACAUUUCACAUAUAUUUUGGCUGGCUAAAAGACAUGAGACUGCAUAAUUCCCAUAUAUGAUAUAGACACUAAACAAGUGGCAUUACAGAACAUGUCUAAACUAAGCAGAUGACAUAUAUGAUGUCAAAAGUAGGCACUGCAAGGCAACAUAUGCAUGAUAUGACUAACAUCAUCAUGCCAAGGUAGAGCAAACACCUUGGGGUAAAUAGGAGUGGUCAGCGGCGUCUGAAUCCACCUAAGAAUAGAUAUCUUCCUCUGGAUUACAAUCUGGAGAGGGGUGGGGAGGGUUUGCCAUUGAAACCACCAUGGAGCGAUGUCUGCAUGACGUUGUAUUGCCGCGCAAAACUCUUCUCUUUUUCUCUACAUGUUCAGCAUGAUUGUGUACAAUAUCUGACAUGCAUACAAAAAAAAUAUGGUGAGAUUAUGUACGGAGAGCAUGCAGAAAUCUAGAGUGAUGGUAACAACUAGUGGAUGGAUCCAAAAAUAAUGAUAGCAGGCCGAUGAUUGCUUUAAUUUAAUAAAAAUACAGAUGAUGAUUGCUUUACUAUUUGUUUCCCACCCAAGAUGAAGAAUAUAUGCAUACCCUAGGUGAAUCAGAUAUUAGACAGAUAUACUAUUCAUUGCUGCCUCAAUAUGUGCCCCACAACUAAUUUAGAACUCAAGUUUGAACAUUAGUUUGGACCUGACUUGGAGUCCAAGAGGUGAACAGGACGAUAAAGUAGCAGGUAAGUUUAAGCAAUGCAUAACAUAAGCAGAAACAAAAGAGUGCGACCUCUCUUGUGGACCCAUGUACUCCUCAGGUUCAUCUGCUGAGUCGAUGACGGUGAUGUCGUUAGGGUGGGUGCCGGCUGCAGGGAAGGAGAUCUGAGGCGGCGAAAGACGGUCAGGAGUCAUGAUGUCUGGUUCGGUGGAUGCUUCUGUCGAUGGAGCAGCUCAGGUGAGGUGGACGACGUCGCGGCAGGAGCAGGAUAAACCACACAAAGUUCCCUUCGACAUCUACCUGUAACUGAAGUAAUUAUGUAAGGGCUCAUUUGGCUUGCAUGAUUCUAAAAACGCAAGGAUAGGAAAAACAUCGGGACAGGAUAGGAAUGCACAUGGUAAAUAGAGCAUUUGUAAACACACCAUUACUGUCAACUUGGGUGUUUGGUUUACAGGAAUUGGAAGAGAAGAGGGAUGCAAAGAAAUAUGGCCAAAAUAAAGUGAAACCAUAUGAAAGCGUGUACAGUUAGAAUGUUAUUCUGCCACUAAUGCACUUGGUCUUGUUUUCAUGCAUAGGAUUGUGAAAAGUAGGUCCAGGUGGAUGUUUUGCUUCAUUCCUUUCAACAAAAUGCAUGAAUAAUUGAAUAGUAGAGUGCCAUUGGAAAAUUCCCUAUUGCUAUGUUUUUCUGUUGAACCAAAAUAGCCCUAAUGGAUCGACAUGAAUGUAUAGUAAUAAGUGAUGCAACAAGUGUACAACCUCUUUGCCGUAGUCGUGUCGACCUCAGCAUCAUUGGGUUGGUCGCUGAAGCAGUUGAGGCACAGGUGGCUGUUGGAGGUGUGGAGGAAGAUCUGAGGAAUCUGUAGACGGUCUCCAGGGCACUGCUCUAUUGUGAUGGAUCGUUCUGUCGUUGGAGCAGCUCCGGUGAGCCGUAAGACGUCAAGGCUGAAGCAGCACAAGACAAACAUCAUCAAUCUCAAGUGGGAUUCUAAUAGCAUCUCCAAUAGAUGAUGUAAAAUAUAUGUAAAAUUUACAUCACCAAAAACCACCUGACUACAACAAAUGAGGUAAAAGUUGUUGACUCUAAACUUAACUGUCGAAACUGAAAUUUACAGUGGAAUCUGAAUGUUACUAUUGAAAUUGAACGCAAUGGUAGCAGAGAGGAACUUGACAUGUAGUUUAGGGAGGGCCUGUAGUUCAUCUUCAACCUGCACCCCCCUAAGCCGCCAGCCACCACCGGUCGAACCGCCGGCCCGAGCACCGCCUCGCCGCCCGAAAACAACUCCCCACCGCCGGUCCGCUGCCGCCCCGUCCAGCCCUCUAGGCCCCCCACCCUCCACCCUGAACCCUAAGAUAGAUAGUGGGGUAUGCUACCUCUUGAGCAUGCGUUGGUUUUUCCCUUGAAGAGGAAAGGGUGAUGCAGCAAAGUAGCGUAAGUAUUUCCCUUAGUUUUUGAGAACCAAGGUAUCAAUCCAGUAGGAGGCUCCUCCCAAGUCCCACGCACCUACACAAACAAACAAGAACCUCACAACCAACACGAUAAAGGGGUUGUCAAUCCCUUCACAGAAACUUGCGAAAGUGAUAUCUGAUAGAGAUAAUAUGAUAAGAUAAAUAUUUUUGGUAUUUUUAUGAUAUAGAUUGGAAAGUAAAAGAUGCAAAUAAAAGUAGAUGGAAAACUUAUAUGAUAAAAGAUAGACCCGGGGGCCAUAGGUUUCACUAGUUCUCAAGAUAGCAUAAGUAUUACAGUGGGUGACAAAUUACUGUCGAGCAAUUGAUAGAAAAGUGCAUAGUUAUGAGAAUAUCUAGGCAUGAUCAUGUAUAUAGGCAUCACGUCCGCAACAAGUAGAUCGAAACGAUUCUGCAUCCACUACUAUUACUCCAUGCAUCGACCGUCUCCUGCCUGCAUCUAGAGUAUUAAGUUCAUAAGAACAGAGUAAUGCAUUAAGCAAGAUGACAUGAUGUAGAGGGAUAAACUCAUGCAAUAUGAUAUAAACCCCAUCUUUUUAUCCUCGAUGGCAACAAUACAAUAUGUGCCUUGCUGCCCCUGUUGUCACUGGGAAAGGACACCGCAAGAUUGAACCCAAAGCUAAGCACUUAUCCCAUGGCAAGAAAGAUCAAUCUAGUAGGCCAAACCAAACUGAUAAUUCGAAGAGACUUGCAAAGAUAACCAAUCAUACAUAAAAGAAUUCAGAGGAGAUUCAAAUAUUUCUCAUAGAUAAACUUGAUCAUAAAUCCACAAUUCAUCGGAUCUCGACAAACACACCACAAAAAGAGUUAUAUCAAAUAGAUCUCCAAGAAUAGUAAGGAGAACUUUGUAUUGAGAAUCAAAGAGAGAGAAGAAGCCAUCUAGCUAAUAACUAUGGACCCGAAGGUCUGUGGUAAACUACUCGCAACUCAUCAGAGAGGCCUUGGUGGUGAUGGAGAGGCCCUCCAUGGUCGAUUCCCCCUCCGGUGGAGCGCCGGCGAAGGCUCCAAGAUGGGAUCUCACGGAUAUAUAAGGUUGCGACGGUGGAAAUAGUUUUUCGUGGUGCUCCUGGAUGUUUUCGGGGUCCGUGGAUAUAUAUAGGAUGAAGAAGUAGGUCGGUGGACGGUCGAGGGGCCCACGAGGGUGGGGGUGUCGUGGUUCUAAGUCUGACUGUAGUGUUGGGGUAGGUAUGGAGAGGCAAGAUCCUAGCUAUGGAGUAGUUGUAUACGCAAGGGAUUUACGAGUUCAGGCCCUUCUCAGAGGAAGUAACAGCCCUACGUAUCGGAGCCCGAAGGCGGUCGACUGGAUUAUAUGCUUAUGACUUAUAGGGGUGCGAACCCUUUACACUGAGGAGGGGGGUGGCUUAUAUAGAGUUCGCCAGACCCCUCCGGUCCUCAGUUAUGUAGGGUUUAAGGUACAUUAAGAUCUGGCGUUACUGGUAACGCCACAAGUAAAGUGCUAUGAUGAUCAUAAAAGCUACUCAAUGACCGGCCGUUUGCAUACAGAGUGACUUUAGAUCCCCCAGCCGUCGAGUGGUUGGCUUCAUGGUCGAGUGGUUGGCUUCGUGGUCGAGUGUCUUCGAGUCUGUCGAGUGUAACACUUCUGAGUCGAUUGAAAGGUGGUUUCUUCUAGAGAAGUCCUUGGGUAGGGUAGUUUGGACAUGUCCAUGACCCUACCCUAGGUACAUAGCUUCAUCAUU
rnacentral:lncRNA from 1 species